UAACUUACCUGGUAGGCAUAUUGCAUCGAUCACUCAGGAUGUAAGUGAAUCGUGGAGCAGACCAUUGCACAAACGGUGGCUGUAAUACGAUUGUGUGGCUCGUUGAGCUACCUACACUACAAAAUUUCUGGUAGGUGAGAUGGAGCCAUUUCGGCCUUCUCAG
rfam:Pseudocohnilembus persalinus scaffold410, whole genome shotgun sequence.